rnacentral:rRNA from 1 species
CCUACGGGAGGCAGCAGUGGGGAAUAUUGGGCAAUGGGCGCAAGCCUGACCCAGCAACGCCGCGUGAAGGAAGAAGGCUUUCGGGUUGUAAACUUCUUUUCUCAGGGACGAAGAAAGUGACGGUACCUGAGGAAUAAGCCACGGCUAACUACGUGCCAGCAGCCGCGGUAAUACGGAGGUGGCAAGCGUUAUCCGGAUUUAAUGGGUGUAAAGGGCGUGUAGGCGGGACUGCACGUCAGAUGUGAAAACCACGGGCUCAACCUGGGGCCUGCAUUUGAAACUGUAGUUCUUGAGUACUGGAGAGGCAGGGGGAAUUUCUGGUGUAGGGGUGAAAUGCGGAGAUAUCAAGAGGAAAACCCGUGGCGAAGGCGGCCUGCUGGA